UCUCCGUUGGUGAGCCAGCGGAGGGAUCAUUACCGAGUUUAUAACUCCCAAACCCUAUGUGAACUUACCACUUGUUGCUUCGGCGCGCGCUUCGGCGCCGCCGAGGACACUUAAACUCUUUGUUUUUAUAAGCAUUUCUGAGUGGCCGAAAGGCAAAAUACAAAUGAAUCAAAACUUUCAACAACGGAUCUCUUGGUUCUG
rnacentral:misc_RNA from 1 species